rfam:Aspergillus oryzae RIB40 DNA, chromosome 3.
GGCCGGAUGGUGUAGUUGGUUAUCACGUAUCCUUUACACGGAUAAGGCCCAGGGUUCGAACCCCUGUCUGGUCA